rnacentral:rRNA from 1 species
GAUGAACGCUGGCGGCGUGCCUAACACAUGCAAGUCGAACGGACAUUUUUUGGAAAGCUCUUCGGAACUGGAAUCUAAAUGUUAGUGGCGGACGGGUGAGUAACACGUGGGUAACCUGCCCAUCAGCGGGGGAUAACACUUGGAAACAGGUGCUAAUACCGCAUAAUUCCAUUUACCGCAUGGUAGAUGGAUGAAAGGCGCUUUUGCGUCACUGAUGGAUGGACCCGCGGUGCAUUAGCUAGUUGGUGGGGUAACGGCCUACCAAGGCUGCGAUGCAUAGCCGACCUGAGAGGGUGAUCGGCCACACUGGGACUGAGACACGGGCCCAG